CACCGCCUGUGAAUCAGUACUCACAGCAUUCGACAUUGCUACACAAAUUGAGUCAUGCAGCCCAGCAGCCACCGAGUGCCUACUGAAUUUCCUGUCACCCAGAGCCUGAAUUUCCUGGGGCAUAACGUUUUAAAAAUAUUAUUGUUUUUUUAAACCCUGGCACUGAACCAGUUUUUAUUCUUCAUCUUGACUUAAUGCCUCUCCAUUCUCUUCUCUCAUCUUCUUCUCCUGGCUCCACUCACCUCCUCUGUAGCCAGGAGCCCACAGUUGGCUAUUUCGGCCGUGUGUCCAGAGUCUGGAAUCCCUCGUCCCCUUGGGCUUCCACUGUGGCCAGUUAGCUUGCCCAUCCUCAGCCUCGGCACCCUCCUUGUUUGUCC
rnacentral:lncRNA from 1 species